UAUUCAUAUUAAGCGCCAGAGCUGUGUUUUAGGGUAGGAGCAGCUGACGAGGUGAAGGUUAAUCGAUUUUUCGGCGGAUGCCUUCCGGCUGGAUAUCUCAGUCGUAGUCUUCAAACAAAACUAAGAGGUAACUCUUACGACAAAAUUGAAGAAAAAGAUAAAU
rfam:Turicibacter sanguinis PC909 contig00016, whole genome shotgun sequence.